rnacentral:misc_RNA from 1 species
CCUUAAAGAACCUGUCUUUGUAGUGCUCACACAGAUUGUCUGAUGAAAAACAGCAGUAAAAACCUCUACAGGCUUGUACCUCAGGUGGUUAGGGCGCACCCCUGAUAAGGGUGAGGUCGGUGGUUCAAGUCCACUCAGGCCUACCAAAUUUGCGAAGCAAAUUUGAAGAGGUUGCAAACGAUGGGGCUAUAGCUCAGCUGGGAGAGCGCCAGCUUUGCACGCAGGAGGUCUGCGGUUCGAUCCCGCAUAGCUCCACCAUCUUUACUGCGAACACAAGAAAACUUCAGAGUGAACCUGAAAAGGUGCACUGCGAAGUUUUGCUCUUUAAAAAUCUGGAUCAAGCUGAAAAUUGAAACGACACACAGUUAAUGUGUGUUCGAGUCUCUCAAAUUUUCGCAAUCGGAAGUGAAACAUCUUCGGGUUGUGA